CGGAAAGGCAGCUCUAUCUGAAGGUGAAACUGCUCUAGCUAACAGGGAAAGCUCUUUAAAAGACCAUCAAAGAGACACCCUGCACAAUGCCUGCUUUCCGGAGGAGCCUCGCGCCCACAAGGCCAUCCCCCAAAUCCAAAAUAUGCUGGCAUGCUAAUCGCGUGAGACAACUUGGCCCACGGACAGCCACAAAGCACAAAAACAAAACACAAACUCACUCAGAGAAGAAACAAGAAUCGUGUUUUCCUGGCAUCUACGAGAAGCGCUUUAUUAGAAGCGCUUUAUUUUUCCUCUAGAUUUCUUUUCUAAAAAAUGAAAAACAAAAACAAACUGAAACAAACAUUUAAAGAAACAAUACAAACUUCAGGUGAUGAUAUUCAAGCAUGUUCUUUUAUUAAGCAUAGGAUGCGAGGCACAG
rnacentral:lncRNA from 10 species